ensembl:lncRNA
AUCAACACAUUUAUAUUUCUAGAUGCUGCACUUUGCUGUUUCAUUACCCAGACAGCUGUUUAAGGUCAGACCAAGGCAGAGUGUAGUAUCAGUACUUAGGGGUCAUAGGUCAUACCAAGGCAGAGUGUAGUAUCAGUACUUAGGGGUCAUAGGUCAUACCAAGGCAGAGUGUAGUAUCAGUACUUAGGGGUCAUAGUGGUCAUGGCUGAUAUACAUGGACUAGAAAACAAACUUUAAGACCAUUUUUCUAAGAUUCACUGUUUGUGUAGAUGCUGUUUGUCUCUUUAGGACUGUAGUUCAGGUGGCUGUUUGUGUAGAUGCUGUUUGUCUCUUUAGGACAGUAGUUCAGGUGGCUGUUUGUGUAGAUGCUGUUUGUCUCUUUAGGACUGUAGUUCAGGUGGCUGUUUGUCUUUGUAGGACUGUAGUUCAGGUGGCUGUUUGUCUUUGUAGGACAGUAGUUCAGGUGGCUGUUUGUCUUUGUAGGACAGUAGUUCAGGUGGCUGUUUGUGUAGAUGCUGUUUGUCUUUGUAGGACAGUAGUUCAGGUGGCUGUUUGUGUAGAUGCUGUUUGUCUCUGUAGGACAGUAGUUCAGGUGGCUGUUUGUGUAGAUGCUGUUUGUCUUUGUAGGACAGUAGUUCAGGUGGCUGUUUGUCUUUGUAGGACAGUAGUUCAGGUGGCUGUUUGUCUUUGUAGGACAGUAGUUCAGGUGGCUGUUUGUCUUUGUAGGACAGUAGUUCAGGUGGCUGUUUGUCUUUGUAGGACAGUAGUUCAGGUGGCUGUUUGUCUUUGUAGGACAGUAGUUCAGGUGGCUGUGUGUCUUCGUAGGACAGUAGUUCAGGUGGCUGUUUGUGUAGAUGCUGUUUGUCUUUGUAGGACAGUAGUUCAGGUGGCUGCCCUUGCACUUAGUCUGCCUCCUGCCCCCCCAUCGUCAUGGUUACACCUUCCUGAAUACAAUGACUCCCAUACUUUGCUGAAACCUGUUCUGCCAG